GUCAAUGGCCUAACGGCUGAACUGGCAACUUGGAGAAGUGGCAAGUCUUCCAGUAUGGGGAGCAAAACAGCUAUGGGUCAAGUCCGAUAUCUUUAGGAGAAGUCUUAUUGUGAGGGCGAGUUAUAUAACACCAUAGGACUGGCCGUCCCAUAUGAAAAGAUUAUAUUAGAAUUGAAUGAAGCUUUGUUUAUAUAUUGAUAAUGACAGUAUAUAUAUCGUGUCUUGACUAAUUGCGUGCCAGCAGUCGCGGUAAUACGUAAGAGACUAGUGUUAUUCAUCUUAAUUAGGUUUAAAGGGUACCCAGACGGUCAAUAUAGCUUAUAAAAUGUUAGUACUUGACUAGAGUUUUAUGUAAGAGGGCAGUACUUGAGGAGGAGAGAUGAAAUUUCGUGAUACCAAAGGGACUCUGUAAAGGCGAAGGCAGCCCUCUAUGUAAAAACUGACGUUGAAGGACGAAGGCACAGAGAACAAACAGGAUUAGAUACCCAAGUAGUCUUUGCAGUAAAUGAUGAAUGCCAUAGGUUAGAUUGAUCAAUUAUAGUCUAGGGUUAGUCUAGCAAACUAAUGCCCUAUGAUAUAAUUCAAAAUAUCUGGUCUAUAAAUGAAAGUGUAAGCAUUUCACCUCAAGAGUAAUGUGGCAACGCAGGAACUGAAAUCACUAGACCGUUUCUGACACCAGUAGUGAAGUAUGUUAUUUAAUUCGA
rnacentral:rRNA from 3 species